GACGAACGCUGGCGGCGUGCCUAAUACAUGCAAGUCGUGCGGACCUUUUAUAAGCUUGCUUUUAGAUGGUUAGCGGCGGACGGGUGAGUAACACGUGUGCAACCUGCUUGUAAGACUGGGAUAACGCCGGGAAACCGGCGCAAAUACCAGAUCGUUUUUUCCUCCGCAGUGAGGGAAAGGGAAAGGCGGCUUCGGCUGACACUCACAGAUGUGAUCGCGGGGCAUGGGCUAGUUGGCGGGGUAACGGCCCAGCAGGGCAACGAGGCGUAGCCGAACUGGGGGGGGGGUAGGCCACAUUGGGACUGGGACACGGCCCAAACUCCUACGGGAGGCAGCAGUAGGGAAUCGUCCGCAAUGGACGAGAGUCUGACGGAGCAACGCGGCGUGAGUGAAGAAGGCCCUCGGGUCGUAAAACUCUGUUGCCGGGGAAGAACAGGUGCCGUUCGAGAAGGGCGGCGCCUUGACGGUACCCGGACAGAAAGCCACGGCUAACUACGUG
rnacentral:rRNA from 1 species